rnacentral:rRNA from 1 species
UGGUCCUACGGGAGGCAGCAGUAGGGAAUCUUCCACAAUGGGCGAAAGCCUGAUGGAGCAACGCCGCGUGGGUGAAGAAGGUCUUCGGAUCGUAAAACCCUGUCGUUAGAGAAGAAAGUGCGUGAGAGUAACUGUUCACGUUUCGACGGUAUCUAACCAGAAAGCCACGGCUAACUACGUGCCAGCAGCCACGGUAAUACGUAGGUGGCAAGCGUUAUCCGGAUUUAUUGGGCGUAAAGGGAACGCAGGCGGGCCUUUAAGUCUGAUGUGAAAGGCUUCGGCUUAACCGGAGUAGUGCAUUGGAA